UCCCAGGUCUCUGCCCCUGCUUUGCUGUGUGAUCUGGACAGGGCCCUAUGCCUCCGGAGCCAGGGGUGGGGGCACAGAGACCCGCGAGGAAGCCCCCUGGGGCCCCAGAGCCCCGAUGUGUCUCAGAGCCCCUGUGGGCCUCCGCUUCUUGAGACUGUGCCCUAGGCCACACAUUUUACCUGUAUUGUCUCAUGUCAUUUAAAUUAAUUUAUUGUAAUUAAAUGCUCAGAUUAGGGCCUUCCCUGUGUUGAAUGCUUUACGUAGCAUCUCAUUUACCCCCAUUUUACAGAUGAGGAGAUAGAGGCAGAAGGCAGGACAAUAACUCACCCGGGGUUCCUGGGGGCGGGGGUGGUGUGGCAGGGCCCCUUCCUUAACUGCGAUGCUGGUAUUUCAGCCUUCUGUAAAUUUGGUGAGACCCGCAGUCAUUGUGUGACUUCGUUAUCCUGUUACCAGUCGGCCAUGCCGUUGAAAACAAACUGGGGGUGCGGGGCAGAGACUUCCAGUGAGCAGAGAGCUCCUGGGACUGAACUCCACUUUACAUAUGACAGAACCGAACCUGGGUGGCCCGCCUGAGGCCCAAGAGCAGGCAAGUGGUGGGGGCCAGAUUCAGACCGGGUGGCCUGACGCUGCUCCACGCGGUGCCCUGGCCCCCCUCUGGAAUGUAAGGACUGGGGGUUUCCUUUCUCCUUGUUCGGUGUCCCAGCCAUUCUUAAAUCAUCCACGUGGGGGCGCUGGAUAAAAAGGCUGUGACAGGAGCUUUGCAGUGAGAUCUCUGUCCCAUCUGGCCUAACGUCUCGCCUCCUGCUGCCAGCGCACUUGCACCUCCCCACACCCCCAGGAGCCAGGCAGACCCCCCACGUGUCAUCUUUGACUCGCUCUCUCCCACUCAGUGUGGAAGGCCAGGCCCGUGCUGAUUGGGGCACACAUCUGGCCCAGAUCAGGACCCUGGGCAGUCGUCGCCCCCUCCUCACCGGCCUCACCUGGCCAGCUGUGUCCUUGGCCGCACCCCCUCACCUCCUCCUUUCCCUUCUUCAUCUUUGCUCUACGGCCAGGGGCACGGACAGGCCAGGGGGGGCUGUGACGUCGCGGGGCUGCUCCCCGGCUCAUGGGAGAUGCGCAGCCUUCCCUCCUCCUUGCUGCUCUGCCAUUCUCCCUCUCUGUAGCCACUGUUUCUGGCCUGAGCCCUCCCCACCCAGGCAGGCCCAUGGAGGCCUCCGUGCAGUGUGCUCAGUGCACACGAGGUCCCCUUGUAGGUAGAGGGUGUGUCCAGACAGGAAGGGCCUUUGGGGGGCAGGAGCUUGGGGAGGCUGUCGCUGGUCCUCCGCCCCUGGCAUUCCCAGCAGUAGUGAGCUGUAGGGCUUGGCUUUCUGCUACCUGGCUGCAAGAGACUGACCAAGAACCCAGAGUGGCCAGGUACUAAUGUCCACAGAUGAACACACCUGUGGGAUGACCCGCCCAGGUGAGCUGCUGAGGGCUGGGGGAGCAUUAGGCCGCCAGCCCGACGCCGUUCUGUGAGGCACGUCAGCGUCUGCCAGCCAGCCGUUCCCACACUACCAGGUGGGGGCGCCUCCCCUGGGGUGGCCUGGAGGCCUUGGGUCAUUUAGUGCCACCUGGACGUGGCAUUAACUCACGUGGAUGCCCAUGGAAAGCUCCUGCCUUCUGCCUAGGGUGAGGAGCGGCCUCAGCCCGGUGCUGGGCCGCCUGGCCGCCUCUGGCAUAACCGGCUCCACACCCAUCUCCUCCAGCAGGGAGAAGGCCUCUGCUCAGAACUCUGGCUGGCAGCAUCGUCCACCUAGAAUUUGAUCACAUUGUUUCCACUGUGCUUAUCUUUAUGGUUACUUCCUGUUUCUGCUGCAGGAACCCCUGGAGCGUCCUCGUAGCCAGAAGUGUGAUGAGCCUUCCCUGCCUCCCUCGGGGCCUGUGCAAAGAUCAAUGAAGAUCAGGACUACAGUGAACUGAGAGAGGCACACCCCUCGGGCCCCAAAUUGAAAGGGGUGCCCAAAAGCAGUGAGCAAGACAAAGAACCCAGUUAACAGUGGGCAGAAGAUCUGAAGAGACCUUUCUCCAAAGAAGAUAUGCAAAUGGCCACCAAGCCCAGGAAAAGACGCCUCACAUCACCAAUCAUUAGGGAUGCACUGCAACCACCAUAAGACACCGCUUCAGAGCCGCUAGGAUGGCUACGGUCAGAAAGGCUGGUGGUGAGAAGGUCAAGGAGGAUGUGGACAAACUGGAACCCUCAAGCGCUGCUGUGGGAAGGUAAGAUGAUGCAGCCACCCUGGGAAACCCUUGGCGCAUCCUCAGCAGGUAAACACGGAAUCAUGGUCCGGCCCUCUUCUAGGAAUAUCCCCAAGUAAAGGGGAACAUAUGUCCACACAAAAAUAUACAGAUGUUCAGAGCAGCAUUAUUCAUAAUAGCCAAAAAGUAGAAACAACCUACAUAUCCAUAAAUGGGUGAAUGAUAAACAAAACAUGUUCAUACACUGGGAUGUCGUUCAGCCAGGUCUUGCUUUCUGACGCCACUGUCCAACCAGAGGCACCCAGGCUCCUUGGAGGAAUGGCUGACGCUAGGACUAGGGCAGGAAUUACACAAGAUGAGCCUGGUACACCUUAUUGUGCCAGGAACUCAGGAAGUGCUUAAACACACACACUGUGUUAAAGGGACACUG